AGUCCCCAGGAGAGGCUGGUGCAGGAAGGCUCAGACACUGUGUUCUCUGACAUAAUUUAUAGACGGGGUCUCACCUUGUUGCCUAGGCUGGUCUCGAACUUCUGACCUCAAGUGAUCCACCCACCCCCGCCUCUCCAAGUGUGGAAUUACAGGGCUUCUAUGAGGCUGUCUUGUAGGAUGCCCAUGACGAUCCUCCAGACACUAAGUGGCCCCAAGACCAAUUUGGUAGCGAGCCCAAGGCCCCUGGACGAGUCAGUUCUAGUCUGGAGACAGGAGCUGACUGCUGAUGUCUGCCAAAGCUGGCAUUGUUUUCCUUUUGCAAGAAGAAAAUGAGAAAACUAAGGCCCAAAGGGACACCUGGCUUUCCUAAGACCUGUAAGUGGAAGAGUCAGCAUUUGAAUGGAGAACUCGCAGCUUUCGGAGUCUAGACUUGUUUUACCUCACCAGACUGCUUCUACUCCUAGUGAUUCCUUCCCUUAGAUUAAGCCUUGCUCUCUUCCCGUGCAAUCAUGAAGAGGAUUAUAUUAGUAAAUCCCUGAACAUUCCCUGAUUGGGGAGUGAGGGUCAAACCAAGGCAAAUGGCAGGAUUGACACUCACAUCAAGGGCUGGCUCAUUAAGGGCUCGGGACCUGGCGAUCGAGUUGCAUUGCAGAUUUUGGAAGUAUGCAAGACCACGCCAGCCACCUUUCCAGGGAGAGACCAUGCAAAGAAGGCAGGUGAUCCAAGGGCUGGGAGUGGUGAGGACUGCUCCAGCCCCUGAGCAGCUGUCAUCCCAGCACAAAGUGUCAGAAGAGACCUCAAAGUGUGGUCUGCAGACGAGGCAGCAUCUGCAUCACCUGGGAGCUUGUUAGAAAUGCAGAAUCUUCUGAGAGAACCAGACCUGCUGCAUCAAAAUCUGCAUUUUAACAAGAUUGUAACUUAGAUACACAGUAACACUUAAAAAGGAUGGGGCAGAGAGGCUAAGUCAGCAGCUUCUCAUCACACUCCAAUCUGAUGCUGCUAGUGCUCCAAAAAGCUCUCAUAUCCUCACUGACUAGCCUAGGGCUGUGUCUAUCAAUGCAUUAUAUGACACAGAUGAAGACUAUUGUGUACCUUCCUCAAUUUUUACCCCAUUGUUUCAGCCUUUUGUACAUCUUUAAUGCAAACAUCCAUGCGAGAAUUCUUGUGACAUUAAUUUUUUGGAACAACCUGUUUUGCAGAGCAAAUUUCAUUAAGCCAUUUUAA
ensembl:lncRNA LINC02177 long intergenic non-protein coding RNA 2177